rnacentral:tRNA from 2 species
GCCUGAGUAGCUCAAUGGUAGAGCAACGCUUUUGUAAAGCGUAGAUUGUCGGUUCGAGUCCGACCUCAGGCU